CACGCAGCAGGAGAUGUGUGCUUAAGUGGAGAGCGUUUGGGUAAGUAGGCAUCUUUAUGUGGCAGAGAGGGCUGGAGCAUGAGGCAUUUUAGUUUCCGCCAGAAGUCAGAGAAGUGUCCAUCUUUGUCGGCACCAGGGAUCCCAGGUGUACAGUGCGGUACCUUGCUUGAGGGACCUGCUCCCCGAUGCAACUUGAGGGUUGGUGUUUGCCGUGUGUCAGUAGCCUGUGUUGUGUUCUCUGGCCUGCUGUGCCUCCGACACCUUCUUCCGCUUCGGGCUUGCCCCUGUUCUGGAGCUGCGGUCUUGCGUUGCAUCUGGAGGGGUAGGCAUCUUGCCUGGGUGUCAUGGUGGAUACUUGUAAUUUGCAGUGGCAGACGUCGAGCCGGCUUGUGCCUGGAUGUCACAUUGCUUUCUGCAGGUUCAGGGAGAGAGCUUUUCUUCCCUCUGGCUUUGGCUCUCAUGUCAUCCGCAAUUUUAAUUGAAGCGCCCGGGCCGCGUUUAAGGGUGGUAGUGUCGCAGGGCUCGGGUUCUGUCGCAGCAGUGUAAGGACUGGGAUCACCCCCACCGGUUCCGAGGAGGGGGAACAGGGCCUGGUCCACACGGCUUUGGGACUCUGGCUGGGCUCUGUUAGGCAGGAUAGUGGAGCAGCGGCCGUCCGCCCCACUCACCGUCUGUCCCAAUCGGGACAUCCAAGACCUCUCCUCCAGGGGACUGCAGGUCGAGGAGCCAGCCUCACCCUGGAUCCAGUUUCUUCUUUGCAUUGAGGACUGUUGCUGGUGGUCAUUAUUGACGGUAAAAAAAUCGUGGUUUUAAGGCUUGAGGUUUGGUAAC